AUGAUCUUUUCACAAAGGAUUCUAAUGGAAGUAAAAUAAUGGAGGCAAUAUAAAUGAAUAACGGUACAGUAAAAUGGUUUAAUGCAGAAAAAGGAUUUGGAUUCAUAUCAGUAGAUGGCGGAGAAGACGUAUUCGUACAUUUCUCAGCUAUACAAACAGAUGGAUUCAAAACACUUGAAGAAGGACAAGCAGUUAAGUUUGACAUAACAACUGGCCCUAAAGGACCACAAGCAUCUAACGUAACAGUUGCUUAAUUGAUAAAUUAAAACUUGUCUAUAACUACCCUGGAGCAAUUUGCUCCAGGGUUUUUU
rnacentral:other from 1 species